UACGUAGGAUCCAAGCGUUGUCCGGAUUUACUGGGUGUAAAGGGUGCGCAGGCGGAAUGGUAAGUCAGAGGUGAAAUCUCAUCGCUUAACGGUGAAACUGCCUUUGAUACUAUCAUUCUUGAGUCCGAUAGAGAUCUGUGGAAUUCCGAGUGUAGCAGUGAAAUGUGUAGAUAUUCGGAAGAACACCAGUGGCGAAGGCAGCAGAUUGGGUCGGUACUGGACGCUCAGGCACGAAAGCAUGGGGAUCAAACAGG
rnacentral:rRNA from 1 species